rnacentral:rRNA from 1 species
UGUCUCACGCCUGCCAUUUUCCCGUCAUCAGAUUCUGGCACGCCCAGUAUGGAGGGACAGGUCCAGCAAUUCGUCACUCUCCGCUUUGGCGACCUCUGGCUAGAUGUGCCUAUUGGUCCGCUUGUGGCUGCAGUUAGCAAGAGUUUGGAAACAACAGCUGCAUCCCCAACUAAGCCAAAAGAAAAGGAAGUCUCUUCUGCACUGAAGGAAGGGUUUACUCCUGUUCUCACAAAGUCAGCAAAGAGAAGGAUGCGUGCAGCUGCAAGAGCAUCUAAG